rnacentral:lncRNA from 1 species
GGGGAGUAAAUGCUUUGGCUGUUUGGUAGGGUACUUACAAAUUAUGGUUCUGGAGCAAGAGUGAGUUGGGAUGCUCCCUGUCACUUCAUAACAGCAUGGAAUUUCCUGAGUCUCAGUUUCUCUAUUUGUAAAUCAAGGAUACUAAUACCCAUCUUAGAGGGUUGGCUAUCAUGAUUACUUGAGAAAAUAUAUGUAAAGCACUUUGUACAUAGCCUGGUAAAAAGAUCAUGAUCUUUGUAGUCAGAUGGACCUGGGUAGUAAUCCUGGCUCUGCCAUUUCUUGGCAAUGGGUCUUUGGCAAAAACGUAAUGUCUUAGAGACUCAGUUUAUUUGUCUGUUUAAUGGCUUAACAAUCUUUUCUUAAUCAAUUGCAUUGGAAUUAAAUGACAACCUGUGAGCAUAGGGAAGCAUCUAACAUGUGCUAGAGGCAUAAAAAUGCUAUUCCCUUCCUUUGUCUGCCACAGCCUGCUCUCACUCAUCCAGCACCCGUGUAGGAGAUAAUGUUCCCUGCCACAAUCACCAGUUUAUCAAGGCCAACGAGGACUUGCCUGUUAGGACCUCGUUGAAGACUCCGUGCAUCCAGUUCACAAUUACAGUCAGGAGUGGAUUUUUCACCUAAGGUGGCAAGAAGAAAAGGUGCAUUAUUGUGGCACCUUCAAACUCUGCAUUCACAAAUAUCAAUAACCAUCCCUGAAAGGCACAAGCCUGGGAUUUACAUGUGUGAUAAGUCUUAGACUCACCUUAUCCCUUCCAGACUGCCACAAUGAGCUCAAAAGAGAAUGUAUGAAAGUCAUUUGCCUCUCUUUAAAACUACGAGGCCUAGGCUGUAGAAUAUAAACUAGCAUGUAAGCUAUUCCUAAAUGGAAGAAGCAUUUGAUGGGAGAAGAAAAAGAUAGAAUCAAAAGGAAAAGGAAACAAAGAGAAACUCAGGGACGACGACUGAAACAGAAUGUUACAGAAGGAGUUCAGGUCUGUGGCAGCAGAUACAUGAGCUCCAUGGCAAAGAGAGGGUGAUAGGAAAGAAAGGAAGAAAUCUCUUUGUACCUGCUAGCCUCCUACUCAGGUGACCAGCUCUGAAAUGGAAAGAGACUUCCCCUCCCCGCAAAAUAAAUAAACAAACAAACAAAGAAACAAACAACAAAAGCCCUCAUUCAGUAUGCUGCCACCAAGUCUGCUAGGCAUCCCCAGGGUCUGGAAAGAUCUAGGCAAAGAAAGCCAGAGGUGUUCCAGAUGUCCUUGUGCCACUAAUGUAGGAGGUUGAGUGUAAGAAGGCUGCACCAUAAAUUCUGUGGCUGAACCUCAAAUGGAUGGCAGAGCUAGAUGGUUGUACCUAAGGAGAGAGUCUGGUAAUGAUGAAAACUGGGACACUGAACAACCAUCUUGGGCAUUCCAGGAUUGUCACAGUCAAGUUCAAAGCUCUGACAAGGUGUUCGGGGUACCCUGGAGCCUUCCACAGCUGUUAUUUACAUCUGAUGCUUCAGUAUACCUAAGACUCAGCAGUUGGGGAGAGAGAGCUACAGAAUGAUUGCUUAUAUUUUUCAGAUGGGAAAAGCAAGUAUUGGCUUAUUAGAAUCAAAGUAUAGAAAUGGAAGAGAUCUUGGUUAUAAAUGCUUACCAAAGGGAUUUGCAAUGGCUCACCAUAAACACAGAGAUCCUUAUAUACUGAAGCUGUUAACAAAGACUGAAAAGGUGAAAGGGACAGAAGAAGGAAGAGACAUAAACAAACCCAAACCCCAAACUCCUCUUUAAAAUCUGUAGCAACUGGAGCUUAAGCUUCCUAGCAACCAAAACAAAGAAAAACAAAUGACCUCCAAGAGCAUCUAAUCCAACCCUUCAUUUUAUGGAUUAGGAAAUGAAGGCCUAUAUUAUUUUUAAAAGCUUUUCAUCAAUGAAAUGUGUUUCUGUAGUCUGUAGCUAAGCAUGGAAUUAUUUCCACUUUAAUGUUUCAGAUUGAUUUUUUUCAAAUGGGCUUUUUCACAGGGCACUUCUGACCUCCCAGAAACCAAUUAUGCACGGGAGCAUUGCAGAGUGCUACAUGGAAAGUUAACCUUCCAGGUGCUAUAACAUUUCAUGCAACAACCACAACAACAACAACAAAAAGAAACAGUGCCUUUACCAUGAGUGCCAUUCUCCUGAGAGUCACAUAUUCUAGAAGCCCUCUCUGCUUUAUUUCCUUCUGUCAAAUCACCCCAGAGCCCUAUAUCCUUUCAUCGUUGUCACCAUACUGCCCUCAUAUCUCCCCACCUCUCCACUUCUGCUCAUUGUUGUUGGGUAUAGGGCAAAGUGAGAGAGGCCCCCUGAGAACCCUGGCGUGAUGUUGAAUAUUCGCUUAAACUUAUCUCAGGAGUUGGGCAAUCUACCAGGUUAUCUGACAAGUCAGAGAACAGAGUCCUAGUCCAUUUGACCUAGACAAGGAACACUGCCUUUUGAUAGUAUUUGAGAGGCAACAACCGGUCCAUGGAGACCUGAAGACUCUGAGGCAGGAGAGAGGUAAAUCUUUGGGAUAGAGCCCCUUUGUAUCACUGAAGUGAUGGGAAUUGUGACGUUUGGCUGCUGUUAGGUUUUUUCCAAAAUGAAGGGUGGAGAAAUAAAAGAAAAAACAGCAGAGUCAGGCAGUAGGUUCAAGAGUGCUUUUAAUGGGGAGCGCUCCCGGGCAAGGUUCCGUGACUCUGAGAGGUGGCCCGAGUCAGGGAAGUCGCACCUGGGUUGGGGAGUGUGGGGGUUUUUAAGCCUUAUUGGUUCCGGGUCCAGAUCCGGGUGGGUCUCUUGCCAAAUUAGGCAAGGAACAUGGUGUCCCUAGGUGAUUGGCUGGGGGUGGGGAUAGUACAGACGAUGGGGCAGUGGUCCCUGGCUGGAAAGUCCUGGCUGGAAAGUUUUGGUUUCCUGUCUAGGCUUCGAUUUACUGGAGAUGAUGUGGUGGUCAUGGCUGCUUUGGCGGGAAUAUCAGCCAUUUUGACCCAAUUUGAGAUGUCUGCCAUUUUGGGUGCCCCUCUCAGCCAGCCCAACAGCUGCUAGCAUCACAGAGAGCACUCUGGAAUAAAGUGAGGAAUUGUCAUGCAUUCUGCACCCAUGAGUCUCCCUAUCUAAGGCAUAGUAUUAGAUCUGCUGCAUCUCACUCACUUCUUGUCUCAGCUGCCAUUGCAGCAACCAGCUCUACAUGGGUUGCAAACACCUUCACACAAGUACAGCCUUGCAGAAUCUCACUUGGCCCCCGUGCCCCUUGCUCCCUUUUUCAGAGUGUCUUGGCUUGGCAACCAGUAUGUAUGACCUGUGGGUUAAAACUUUGCUCAGGGGGAAAUAAGGGCAAUUUGUACCACUUCCUCUGUGGAUUGUCCUCAAAGGCACAAUGACUGGUCAUGUUUAAUGAUGACUCUUUCAUUAGGGUGUUUUGGAUUAUCUCUCUCCCCUUCCCUUCUUCAUUCUCCUCACUCCUAUGUCCUGCUCUAUGAAGUUCCCUAGCGAAUUAAAAAAAUGAAAGCCUCUGCUUUAGGCCCAGCUCCUUGGGUAACCUGGCCAUAGACAAGUAUUCACCUUCUGGGCCAUUUCUCCUGCUUUCAAUUAUACUGGAUUGGGCUUUCUGGUCAGGGUCACUGAGAGAAGGAGUUAUAUUCUAUGGCAAAUUUGAUUUUUAAUUUUGGUCACCUAGAAUUGACUUCUUUUUAAAAAAAUCUAUUUUCUUGUGGCAGUCAUCUCUUCUUCACCCUUGGUUAUGCAGAUCCAGUGAAGUUCAUUCCAAAUCUAGCUCAAGGAGUGAAUAUGUGGUUUGACUCCAGCCCAUCAGGACACUGUAUACCCCCAAUCCGUGGCUGAUCAAGGUUGGUCACAUGACCCAAACCAAGCCAAUGCAAUACUAUAAAAAAUAUUUACCAGGACUAUUGGAUAAGAGGCAUAUUUUCUUUCCACUGCACUUGAAGGCCUGUACCUAGAAAAUGUGGGAAUAGAGCUGAGGCAGCCAUCUUGCCAACCCAACAGGGAAAGCCACCUCAAGAUGGCUCCAACAUAGGGACAGCAGAGCUCAGAGAAAUCAGGAUCUGGUGACAUAAUUUGACCACAGUCUUCCUUUCUGUUCUCCCCAUCAAGCUAUAGCUGAGGCCCUAGACUUUUCAUUUGUUUGAACUAAUAAAUUGUAGGCCUUUUUUAUUGUUGUUAUUAUUCAUUUGCCACCUAAAGAAUCUUGACUGAUGUAGGGAUACAAAUUUGCAACUAAUGGAUAAAUAAAUCUUGGAGAUAUUAUGCACAGUAUUGUGACCGUAGCCAAUAAUACCGUAUUACAAACAUCAGAUUUGCUGAAGACUAGAUUGUAAGUAUUCCAGGCACAAAAAAUAAAUGAUAAUUAUGUGACUUAAUAGGGGUAUUAAUUAAUGCUACAAUGGCAAUCAUACUGCUCUAUAUAAAUGUAUCAAAUCAACCCAUUGCUCACCUUAAAUUUACACAGUGUUAUAUAUUACAAUUUAAAAAAAAAUUCUUGACUGAUAUAUGAAGCUCCUUCUGACUCAGAUUCUUUAUUUUUAUGGUCCAUUUUGGUUGUUACCACCAGAAUGUUUUAAAAUUUAUUUGUAUUAAAUGUUAGAGAUAGGAAAAAUAAUACUUGUAAGAUUUAAAGAAUAGCCGCAAUUCAAACUCCCAAUUAUUUGCUAUCCAGUUUAAGAAAGAAAACAUGGCUGUUUGAAGUUCUGUCUACCCUUUCUGUAUACAUUCAGAAGUAAUCACUAUCUUGAAUUUUAAGUUAGAUUGCCUUGCUUUUCUUCAUAAUUUUAUGACGUUUGUAUUUCUAAAUAAUUUUUUGUGGGUUUGUAUGAUUUUCAACAUCAUAUAAAUGCAAACAUGGUAUAUACAUAUAUAUAUAUUAUUGUUUGACUUGCUUUUUAAAUUCAAUAUUAUAUUCUGGGAUUCUUUGGUAUUGUUGUAUACAGUUAUAAUAUACUUAUUUUUGAUGUUGUAUGCACAUACAACAAUUUUUUUCCUGCUGUUAGCAGACAUUUUUAUUUCUAGAUUUUUUUUGCUUGAUAUUACAAACAACUUUGAUAUGAAGAUUCUUGCACAUGGGUCCUCAUGCAUAUGGGCAUAGGUUUCUUUAGGGUUGGUAUGUAGGAGAAGACUCUAUCAUAGUUUACCUGAAGUUUCUUAUUACUAGAUAAGUACAAAUUGUUUUUUUAGAGUGAUUUUACUAUAGUAUAAUUCCACAAGUCAUUUUAAGUAUAGUUUCUUUCAUAAUUUCUCCUAAAGUUGGUAUUAUUGGACUUUACUGUUUUCCAAUGAUGAUGGCAGUGAAAUUGUAUCUCUUGUGUGAUUUCAACUUACAUAUAUAGUUUCUGAUCAGUAAUAAUGUUGAAAUCAUAACUGCAUUAUAAAGAUUUGAUCAAUGUUUCCUCUAAAGGUAAAAAAUAUAUAUUAUCAUCUUUUAUUUUAAAGUGAACAUUUGACAGAUAUGUUUAAUUAACAAAAAAACCAACAAAAUAGUGAAGCUGUUCCUGAGAAAAGGAAGAAUUUGUUGUGGCUGAUGCUUGGAUGGCUAAAGUUCAUACAAAACUAGUUAACACCCUAUCAUGUAAUAAAACUCCAAUUUGGGGGAUUAUUCUUCCUAUAAUACAGAAAUCACUUGCAUCUAUGCCAAACAAACAAAAAAGUUGACAUUUCCAUCAGAUAAAAAUCAUUUGUAGUGCUAUAAGGUUUUCUUUCAUAAGUUAUCUUCUAUACAUACAGAGUUGAAAACUCCCCUAAUCAAUAGUAAAUAACAAGUCAAACAGAGAAUAACAUUCCAAAAGGAGACAUUGGCACAAUUUUUCUGUAAAACAACAAGAUAGUAAAUAUUCAGGGCUUUGUGGACCAUAUGGUCUCAGGUGCAACUAUUCAUCUCAACCCAUGAAAGCAACCAUAGAUGAUAUGUAAAUAAAUGAACAUGGCUGUUCCCAUUACAUUUUAUUGAUCUAUAAGAAAAAAGUGAUGGCAGUGUUUAACCUGUAGACAUACUUUGUAGACUCCUGACCUGAAGAAUCAGACAAUCUGCAGCUGGGCCUGCCAGAAGAUAUUCAUAAAGAACAUUUAAUAAUCCUUUUAGUCUUUUUUUAUAGUUUAGGUAAUUUUCUUGAAAGUCUCCCUUUUGAUCAUAAAUCAUCUCCAAAGAUUAUUCUUGACCAUGGAAAAGCUGGCUCAUUGUGCUAAGGCCUAAUCCAUUUACAUAGUUGCAGUAAAAGAUGUUAAUUUACAUAUAUAAGACACCUUUUGAUGCUGUCAGCAAAUCUAGGGCCCUAUGGUGUUAAGCAACUUGUAAAGCCAGAAAAUGAACUUCUGCCUGGAGAAAUGGAAAUGUUGCAGUAUAUCACAGACAUUUUACAUUGUUCUUACUUUCUCUUCUAACUUGAGUCCAGGGAAUCACACUCAAGACAUUCAUCUCUACUAGUUUUAUCUGCAAUAUGUAUAAAGACUGAUGUAUAUAAAAAAGGGAGUCCUUUACUAAAGUUCAUGGCCGGUCAGAAUGCAGCCUUUCCUUACUACCCAUAUCAAUAGUAAGAUUUAAGGCAGGGGUCAGCAAACUCUCUAUAAUGGUCCAAAUUGUAAAUAUUGUAUACUUUGAGGGCCAUGAGGUCUGUGUUGUAACUACUCAACUCAAGUGUUGUAGCACAGAAACACAACAUGUAAAUAAAUGGGUGUGCUUGUGUUCUACAAAAAUAGUUGGUAAGUUGAAUUAGGGCCACAGCCCUACUUCUACUUUAAGUCAUAGGACAGAUACUAGCCAGUUUUCUUCUCAUAUUUCAUAGAAAAUAAAGAAGAAUUGACCAAUAUUCCAAGACAAAGUUGUCACUUUAACAGAGAGAAAAACCUAAUUCCAGGUUUACAUCAAUAUAAUAUAUCUUUUUACAGAUUUUACUUAUUUAUUCAUGUGUCUCUCAUGAGAGGCAGAUACAUAGGCAGAGGGAGAAGUAGGCUCCCUGCAGGGAGCUUGAUGCGGGACUUGAUCUCAGGACCCCAGGAUCAUGACCUGAGCCAAAGGCAGAUGCUCAACCACUGAGCCACCCAGGUGCCUCAUCAAUAUAAUAUUAGAUGCUAAAGGAAUGACAGCUCUUUAGAAAGAUCUUUUGAAUAAAUUCAUUAAGACCAAACACCUUUGGCAAUAUGAUAAUACAUUUUAUGACUUCUUUUCAGGCUUAUACCAUAUACCAUGGUAUAUACCAUGCAUAUACCAUAAUUCAAGGCAAAUAAAAUUCCCUUCUGCAAAAGGAA